rnacentral:lncRNA from 10 species
GGAAGCAACACUGGUUGGAGAUCGGACCACCGGACUUGGUGGAGCGCAAGGGCUCCCUGACCCUCCGCUCCCAUCACAAGAAAUACUCGAAGCCGGUGUUGGUGUAUUCCUGAUUUGGACAUCAGAAACACAUGAAAAGUUGUCACAAAUGUGUUUAAACACAGAAUGGGUUGAAAUGAAGAGCAAGGCUUUAUUGAAUGAGGAAACAGUGAGCUCCGGGAUUAUCGAAAGGGUCACCGGAUUGCCUGCCACAGGUUUUGGAGCUGUCUUUCCUAGACAUCCACCGGAUUGGAGCAAAAUGUUAGUAGUCCCUAAACUGCUACAACUGUACAAAAUGUUUCUUGAUUCAGAAGGUUUGUUUGCAGGGGCAAAGGUAUGACAGGGUGAGCCAAGGUCAACAAAAUGCCCUUUACAUGACAUCUUCGACUUGCCUUUAACCAAAUGUUUUCUCCUUUCACAUGCACAACAUUAAUAACCGUAAUAAUAAAACAGUAAAUCCUCA